GACGAACGCUGGCGGCGCGCCUAACACAUGCAAGUCGAACGGAGCUGAGAGAAGCUUGCUUUUCUUAGCUUAGUGGCGAACGGGUGAGUAACGCGUGAGUAACCUGCCCUGGAGUGGGGGACAACAGUUGGAAACGACUGCUAAUACCGCAUAAGCCCACGAUCCGGCAUCGGAUUGAGGGAAAAGGAUUUAUUCGCUUCAGGAUGGACUCGCGUCCAAUUAGCUAGUUGGUGAGGUAACGGCCCACCAAGGCGACGAUUGGUAGCCGGACUGAGAGGUUGAACGGCCACAUUGGGACUGAGACACGGCCCAGACUCCUACGGGAGGCAGCAGUGGGGGAUACUGCACAAUGGGGGAAACCCUGAUGCAGCGACGCCGCGUGGAGGAAGAAGGUUUUCGGAUUGUAAACUCCUGUCGUUAGGGACGAUAAUGACGGUACCUAACAAGAAAGCACCGGCUAACUACGUG
rnacentral:rRNA from 1 species